UACGUAGGGGGGCAAGCGUUGUCCGGAUUUAUUGGGCGUAAAGAGCGUGUAGGCGGUUCGGUAGGUCCGUUGUGAAAACUCGAGCUCAACCUCGAGACGCCGAUGGAGACCCCCGAACUAGAGUCCGGAAGAGGAGAGUGGAAUUCCUGGUGUAGCGGUGAAAUGCGCAGAUAUCAGGAAGAACACCCGUGGCUAAGGCGGCUCUCUAGUACGGUACUGACGCUGAGACGCGAAAGCGUGGGGAGCGAACAGG
rnacentral:rRNA from 1 species